CCCUGGUGGCUCAGUGGUAAAGAACCUGCCUGAAAUGCAGGAAACUCAGGUUUGAUCCCUGGAUCAGGGA
rfam:Ovis aries breed Texel chromosome 1, whole genome shotgun sequence.